rnacentral:rRNA from 1 species
GAUGAACGCUGACAGAAUGCUUAACACAUGCAAGUCAACUGUGGCGGACGGGUGAGUAACGCCUAAAGAACUUGCCUCACAGUUAGGGACAACAUUUGGAAACGAAUGCUAAUACCUGAUACUGUGAGAGAGCUUUGCGUCGCAUUAGCUAGUUGGAGAGGUAACGGCUCAUCAAGGCGAGGAUGGGUAGCCGGCCUGAGAGGGUGAUCGGCCACAAGGGGACGUGGACGCGGCCCUUACUCCUACGGGAGGAAGCAGUGGGGAAUAUAGGACAACGGACCAAAGUCUGAUCCAGCAAUUCUGGGUGCACGAUGAAGGUUUCGGAAUGUAAAGUGUGUGCAGUUGGGAAGCGGUACCAACAGAAGAAGUGACGGCUAAAUACGUGCCAGCAGCCGCGGUAAUAC